rnacentral:rRNA from 1 species
CCUACGGGGGGCAGCAGUGAGGAAUAUUGGUCAAUGGCCGGAAGGCUGAACCAGCCAUGCCGCGUGAAGGUCAGUGCCCUAUGGGCGUUAAACUUCUUUUGUGCGGGAGCAAUAAUGGUCACGUGUGGCCAGACGAGAGUACCGUACGAAUAAGCAUCGGCUAACUCCGUGCCAGCAGCCGCGGUAAUACGGGGGAUGCAAGCGUUAUCCGGAUUUAUUGGGUUUAAAGGUGGCGUAGGCUGUGAGGUAAGUCAGCGGUGAAAUGCCCCCGCUCAACGGGGUGAAGUGCCAUUGAUACUGCCUAGCUGGAGUGCGGAUGCCGUGGGAGGAAUGUGUGGUGUAGCGGUGAAAUGCAUAGAUAUCACACAGAACACCGAUUGCGAAGGCAUCUCACGAAGCCGCGAUUGACGCUGAUGCACGAAAGCGUGGGUAUCAAACAGGAUUAGAUACCCCUGUAGUC